GACAGAGGGUGCAAACGUUGUUCGGAAUUACUGGGCGUAAAGCGCGUGUAGGCGGUUGGGCAAGUCGGAUGUGAAAACCCCGGGGGCUCAACUCCGGGCCUGCAGUCGAUACGGGCUGGCUUGAGUGCGGUAGGGGAGACUGGAAUUCCUGGUGUAGCGGUGAAAUGCGCAGAUAUCAGGAAGAACACCAAUGGCGAAAGCAGCUUUCUGGGACGGUACUGACGCUGAGACGCGAAAGCGUGGGGAGCGAACAGG
rnacentral:rRNA from 1 species